CGGGGCAGUAGGAAAAGUAUUCAGACUACUUGAUUAUUUCCUAAAUGAUUCCAUGUUUUUAUUGCAACUUGAAACUUCUGUUUCUGUAUAGAAAUGCACAGACUUCAUGGCAAUAAGGACGAAGGUCAAAAACCACAGAAUAGCUUGUGAGGGGUGGGGGUGUUGUGUGUGUGUGACAGCAGGUCUCCUUGGGCCUGUGAGAGCUGGAGACCCAGCAAAGAGAGUGAGUUGAUAGUAACUUGGCUUCAUUCUGCGCACAGGCUGCAGUGACCUCUAGAGCUUCUAUCCUACUUGUCUUUGUAUCAAAACUUGAAUUUUUCCUCAUCCUGUCAGGAUAAAAGACUCCUCUACUCGGGAAGUGCCUGCUUUUCAUGUGGUCCUCAGAUCUAGUCAGCUCUGGCUGCCUCCUCAGAUGUACAUGACAUCCCAGGGAUUCUGGACACUUGCCCGGCAGGCAGAGCUGGAGUUAUCAGCAUUGUGUAUCAGAGCUGGGACUUACACAGUGCUCAUUGGCCUCCUAUAUGGCUUUAUAAAAGUUAGAGUUGAUGAGGUUUUUGUUAUUUAUUUUGAUUCCACUAGACUAUACUGGAAAGUAUUGCUUAGAAACUCCAGUUUUAAUAACUCAUUUUCAGUAUGUUCUUAAGUAUACUCAGAAUUUCAAAGGAACUGUUUUGAUUUUACUUUGCCUGAAACCACAUAUCACUGUUAGAGGAAUUCAAAUUGGAAUACUGAUUUAGAAAAAAAAGGACAGUUUGGAAACAGCUCACAACCCAGGAGUAUGCAGAGGUCCAGAUAUCAGCUGUUGUGCAAGUGUAUGACCGUCAUCUGCAGACAGGCUUCUAGAUGACACCAAGGAUGCAUCACCCCUCAGCCCCAGACUCCAUUUACUUUGAUUUGCUUUAGUCUCUGAGGAAUGAAAUUCUUUCUCAACCAGGGCCCAGUCAUUUUUAUGAAUUCUGACACCCUCAAAUCAAAGGUCCCUCUUUUCUCUGCAUGUGAUUCAGGGAUAGAAAUGCCCUCUCCAUGACUGAGCUCCAAAUGGAGAAGUGCUAAGAUACGGAGGAGGCAGCUCACUAAUGGAAUAUAAAGCAAAGUCUUGUUGGUGGAAAAGAAUGUCUCCACUUUUUGUGGUGUCCCCCUCCUCUAUUUUCCUUCUGUCUUUUAAAAUGAGAACAGUGCUAGACUCCCAAGCCAACCUGCCUUAAUCAGUGUGCACACAUUGCACUGUUGCUCACCUCUGAGGCAAAAACCCGAGAGGAGGCUGUCUUUCUGUCUUUGGCUAGAGGGUCGAUUUGUAACAUCUGAAGAAAUCAGUCUGUCCUGGGUUUAUCUGCCUACUCUCCUGCUCCCCGCAGCUGGAGUCAGCUGUCCUGUCUGAUUCUGCUCCCUGAACUGUAUUGCAGUGGCUUCCAAUUGCCUGGAGAAUUCUGCUUUAGCCCUGUGGUGCUUGAACUUCCAGGACUUUGAAAAAUUUGGAUAUUGGGGGCUGGAGAGAUGGCACAUUGUUUAAAGAAUUGGCUGUUCUUCCGAAGGAAUUAGGUUCAAUUCCUAGCACCUGUAUGGUGGCUCAUAAGUGUGUGUAACUCAAUUCCAGUGGAUACAACUCCCUCAUACAAACAUGCAUGCAGGACAAACACCAAUGCACAUUAAGUUAAAAAAAGAGAAGAAGAAGCCUUAGACAAUGACAGACUAUAAAAUAUAGUCUUGCUUCCUUGUGGUACAUUUUUUGUGUUAACAGCUACUAGACUGUUAUUCUGCUGACCGAGUAAAGUGACUUACCAGCAGCCAGUUAGCCAGCUCUCCAUGACUUGUAGCAAACAGGCACAGUCCUGGUGAUGAGGUUUGUACUCUUGGCUUCUCUCUGAGCCCCAAGAUCAUAUUAGAUAUAGCUUCUCAGACAUGAUGUCAUUACCUCAAGCGCAUAAACAAAUCAGGACUUAAAGAGUGUAGGACCUACAAGUGUGUGUCCUGUCAUGGUGCCAGGGCUCCUCUGCUCUCUGGCAGCCAUCCCCAGGCAGUAUGGAGCCCUGGACAGUGCCAGCCUGGGCAUGAGCAGCUGAGUACCUUUAGCAGCCAUGUUCUUUCCUCCUGAGGUCAGUGAGAGUUCUGACAAAGAAGGACACGGUAGUCUUUUGAUCUUCCUGAUUUUACAUUCAGUUUUGAUGCAAGGCUUUGUUGGGCUUUGGAGUACAUGUGGCAGCAGUAAUUUUACUGAAGCAACUGCAUUGAAAUUCAUUGAAAUGGUUUUCUCCUCAGAAUGUAUCAAAUAAGUAUUCUGUAAAGCCAUUCCGGAUGGCCAGCAUGCUAUGGGCUGGUUAUAGAACAGCAUUCUGUGUUGGUCUGCAUCAAAAAUAGUUUGCAUAAGAUAGUCUUGGUUACCAUCUAAAAUAACUUAAAAUAUUCCUCACAUAAAAAAUUUAUGUUGUAUUUUUAAAACUUUUAGGGCUUUAUCUAUUUUUCUAAGUCGUUAACUGUACUUUUUAAAAAAGUAUUUUGUAUCUACUUUUGUAACUUCAUCAGAAUAAACUAUAUUGAAAGC
rnacentral:lncRNA from 1 species